UCCCUACGGGGGGCAGCAGUGGGGAAUAUUGCACAAUGGGGGAAACCCUGAUGCAGCAACGCCGCGUGAGUGAAGAAGUAUUUCGGUAUGUAAAGCUCUAUCAGCAGGGAAGAAGAUGACGGUACCUGAGUAAGAAGCCCCGGCUAACUACGUGCCAGCAGCCGCGGUAAUACGUAGGGGGCAAGCGUUGUCCGGAAUUAUUGGGCGUAAAGAGUACGUAGGCGGUCUGUUAAGCGCAAGGUGAAAGGCAUAGGCUCAACCAAUGUGAGCCUUGCGAACUGUCAGACUUGAGUGCAGGAGAGGAA
rnacentral:rRNA from 1 species